GACGAACGCUGGCGGCGUGCUUAACACAUGCAAGUCGAACGGAAAGGCCUUUUCGGAGGUACUCGAGUGGCGAACGGGUGAGUAACACGUGGGUGAUCUGCCCUGCACUCUGGGAUAAGCCUGGGAAACUGGGUCUAAUACCGGAUAGGACCGCACUUUAGUGUGUGUGGUGGAAAGUUUUUUCGGUGUAGGAUGGGCCCGCGGCCUAUCAGCUUGUUGGUGGGGUAAUGGCCUACCAAGGCGGCGACGGGUAGCCGGACUGAGAGGUUGGUCGGCCACAUUGGGACUGAGAUACGGCCCAGACUCCUACGGGAGGCAGCGGUGGGGAAUAUUGCACAAUGGGCGCAAGCCUGAUGCAGCGACGCCGCGUGGGGGAUGACGGCCUUCGGGUUGUAAACUCCUUUCGCCAGGGACGAAGCGUUUUGUGACGGUACCUGGAGAAGAAGCACCGGCUAACUACGUG
rnacentral:rRNA from 1 species